UCUCCCUUGGAAGCUGCGUGCUCCCUCGAGAGACCGCCAGCCGCCCGCCAGCCCGCCGCCGCCGCUUGCUGACGUAGUAAAAUCGAGCCAAUCGGCCGGCUGUUCGCUCUGCCGCGUGGUGCUACCGGACGGCGCUACGUCGGUGGUGGGCGUGGAGCCGGGCGUGCCGGUGCGGCGCCUGGUGGAGCGCCUGCUGCAGCGCC